AUAUAUAUAUAACCAUAUAUAACAGCAAAUAAUUCGAAUCACAAGUCUUUAACACUUUUCAGGAAAUAUGCCAUGCUAUGCUUCAAAACAUAAUAAGGAUGCAUAAAUAUAACAGGUGAAAUAAGGAAUCAACCGGAGACCCUGCAGCUGUCAUGUACGGCUAAUUCUAUAGCUCAAUAUCCAAUCCAGCCGGAGUCACCAACUGUAACC
rnacentral:lncRNA from 1 species